rnacentral:rRNA from 1 species
CCCUUAGAUGUUCUGGGCGGCCCGCGCACUACACUGGCACUCUCAAUCAGAGCCUGGAUCUAACACUUUGGGGUAUUCUAUGAAGUGGUGUCGUGACUGGGAUUAACCCUUGCAAUUAUUGGUUACGAACGAGGAAUUCCUUGUAAUCGCGGUUUAUCAGCCCGCGUUGAAUGCGUCCCUGCCCUUUGUACACACCGCCCGUCGCUCCUACCGAUUGAAUGUUCCGGUGAGCUCUUCGGACUGCGCGGUCUGCAGUUUCUGCGUUCCGUGCGGAAAGUUGCGCAAACCUUAACAUUUAGAGGAAGGAGAAGUCGUAACA